rnacentral:rRNA from 1 species
GCUGGCGGCACGCCUAACACAUGCAAGUCGAACGAAGUAGCAAUACUUAGUGGCAGACGGGUGAGUAACAUGUAGGUAUCUGCCCUUUGGCCUGGAAUAACACGAGGAAACUUGUGCUAAUACCGGAUAAGUCUUUACGGAGAAAGCUUUAUGCACCAUUGGAUGAGCCUGCACUUGAUUAGUUUGUUGGUGGGGUAAUGGCCUACCAAGACUUUGAUCAAUAGCUGAUUUGAGAGGAUGAUCAGCCACAUUGGGACUGAGACACGGCCCAAACUCCUACGGGAGGCAGCAGUGGGGAAUCUUGCACAAUGGAGGAAACUCUGAUGCAGCGAUGCCGCGUGAGUGAAGAAGGCCCUUGGGUUGUAAAGCUCUUUCGUCGGGGAAGAAAAUGACUGUACCCGAAUAAGAAGGUCCGGCUAACUUCGUGCCAGCAGCCGCGGUAAUACGAAGGGACCUAGCGUAGUUCGGAAUUACUGGGCUUAAAGAGUUCGUAGGUGGUUGAAAAAGUUGGUGGUGAAAUCCCAGAGCUUAACUCUGGAACUGCCAUCAAAACUUUUCAGCUAGAGUAUGAUAGAGGAAAGCAGAAUUUCUAGUGUAGAGGUGAAAUUCGUAGAUAUUAGAAAGAAUACCAAUUGCGAAGGCAGCUUUCUGGAUCAUUACUGACACUGAGGAACGAAAGCAUGGGUAGCGAAGAGGAUUAGAUACCCUCGUAGUCCAUGCCGUAAACGAUGUGUGUUAGACGUUGGAAAUUUAUUUUCAGUGUCGCAGCGAAAGCGAUAAACACACCGCCUGGGGAGUACGACCG